rnacentral:sRNA from 1 species
UGAUAUAGGUGUCAAAAUUCCAAAAUGCGUGCAUGCGUGCAUGCUAAGCAUUUUGAAUUUAUGACCCGAACAAGCAUGAGGAAAUAGCAAUUUACGAAGUAAAUUAGCGGUUUCCGAAUGAUUGUAGAAUUGCGAGAAUGACGAAAGUCAUGGAGCAAUUCGUAUAUCA